rnacentral:lncRNA from 1 species
GGUGAAUUCAGAAACUGAGGUAUUUUCCUAGUCCCUGUUAUGACCAGGUGCCACUGGGUGUGGCGGAGAAGGCGUUCUCAGGUUGAAAAGGAUGGAGGAGGGACGGAGGACCCCAUCAGUCAGGCGGGCAGUCGAUUGCAUUUGGCUUGGAAGUGAGUCCAAUAAUGCAAUGGCUGAAGAACAAGGGUGUUUCAGAGUAGCUGGAUGGAUGUCUUGGAUUUUAAUUGUAACUCUGACGAUUUGGAGUGAUCGUGGUAACGGACAAGGUCAAGGUAAAUGGAAGGAUUUUAUUAUUGAGAGGAAAUAUGAAUGUCGUUUGGCUUAUUCCGCAGGUGUUC